rnacentral:rRNA from 1 species
UUGCUCUUCAACGAGGAAUGCCUAGUAAGCGCAUGUCAUCAGCAUGCGUUGAUUACGUCCCUGCCCUUUGUACACACCGCCCGUCGCUACUACCGAUUGAAUGGCUCAGUGAGGCCUUCGGACUGGCCCAGGGAGGUCGGCAACGACCACCCAGGGCCGGAAAGUUCGUCAAACUUGGUCAUUUAGAGGAAGUAAAAGUCGUAACAAGGUCUCCGUAGGUGAACCUGCGGAGGGAUCAUUACCAAGUACAACCCGUCUCCGGACGGGCUGCUACCAACCCUUUGUUGUCCGACCGCGUUGCCUCCGGGGCGACCCUGACCUUCGGGUUUUGGGGGACCCCGGGUGGACACCUAAACUCUGCGUAACUUUGCAGUCUGAGUAAUAGAUUAAAUCAAUCAAAACUUUCAACAACGGAUCUCUUGGUUCUGGCAUCGAUGAAGAACGCAGCGAAAUGCGAUAAGUAAUGUGAAUUGCAGAAUUCAGUGAAUCAUCGAAUCUUUGAACGCACAUUGCGCCCCGUGGUAUUCCGCGGGGCAUGCCUGUUCGAGCGUCAUUUCACCACUCAAGCCUCGCUUGGUAUUGGGCGACGCGGUCCGCCGCGCGCCUCAAAUCGACCGGCUGGGUCGAUCGCACCCUCAGCGUUGUGGAAACUAUUCGCUAAAGGAGUUGUGGUCGGUCACGCCGUGAAACAAACCAAUCUUUCAAUGGUUGACCUCGGAUCAGGUAGGGAUACCCGCUGAACUUAAGCAUAUCAAUAAGCGGAGGA